AUGAGGUCGCCUCCGGGAGGGCUGGAGCCAGGAAGCCUCCCUCUCCCAGCGCUGCUGCGAGGUGUGAGGCAUCUCGCAGGGAAAAAAAGGUGCCAAGUGCGAAAAGCACUGAAGAGCAGCAAAAGCAGCCCCUGGUUUUUGCUAUUAGAGCACUGGCCCUUAGCAGCUGGGGGGGCAGGAGUGGGAAAAAGCACAACAGGGCUGCCAAGGUUAACGGGAACGUUUCCGUGCUGGGUUUGGAUGCAAGUGCUGGGCUCGCUGGCCAGUGCCAAAGGGGAAAAGGAAACGCUCGGCGCUGAUGGAGGCAUCCCCUCUCCGGGGGGCAUUGCGCUGCACACGGCCAUCCCCCCCUUUCCACCUGCAAGGUCCUGGGGUCCCCACAUGGUCCUUGACAAAGUCGUGGCUGGGCCUCGCUCGCUCGCAGUGGCUCCGGAGAGCGGGGCGGCUGCCCUCGGACGGGCAGAGAAGGGCUUUCGGCGCUGGGGGACGAGCAGGGCAGCCGGGCUGCCGGAGGCGAGGGCAGCGGGAAUGCAGCCGCGAGCCGGGCACCGGCCCCCAGCGGUGACGCAGCAGCCUCCGACGCGGCCCCGAUGCCCGACCGGCGCGUGGCAGCACUGGCAAAAGCAGGGAUUCAGCACAGCGCAGAACCAGCGCCGGCUGCUUCUUUUCCCUAAGGUGGGACAAGCAAAGCAGCCACCGGAUCACGCAGGGUGGGGGCGACCGCCCUCGUGGGGCCGGAUACGGGCCCAUCUGGAACAGUAUUUUUUCUUUAAUUUUUUUUUUUUUCCCCUCCUCUCUGGGGGCAGGAUGAGACCUUGGCAUCCCUUUACUGUCCCCCCUGCUGCUUUGAUGCGAAACACAAGCAGGCUGCGCACGCCCGUAGAGCGGGACGUGUCGGAGGAGCAGACCCCGGGAACGGGCGGAAGCGCCGCGGCUCGCGCCAAGCCCCCCCCCGGCGGCAGGCCGUGCCACCUCCUCUCGGCCCGCUCGGAGCUCUCUUAA
rnacentral:lncRNA from 1 species